rnacentral:rRNA from 1 species
AUGUCUCACUACCAGGAGCACAAUGUUGAUGACAUGGAGGAUGAUUACGACAUGGAUGAUCCGGUAGAUGACAUGGAUGGUGAAGAUUACCUAGGGCCGGAGGCUAGGGACGACUCUGAUGAGGAGGAUGACGAGGAUGCCGAAGCGAAUAAGGCAUCCGACACAUCAUCUGAAGAAGCAAGACGUGGAAAAGACAUUCAAGGAAUACCAUGGGAUCGCUUGGAACUUACCAGAGAAGGAUACAGGGAGACAAGAUUAUUACAGUACAAAAAUUACGAGAAUGUACCUAAUUCUGCAGAAGCAGCAAUGAAGGCAUGCAAAUCUACUGAGAAAGACGGAACAUAUUAUGAGUUCAGGCGAAAUACUAGAUCAGUAAAAUCUACUAUUCUACACUUUCAGCUGAGAAAUUUAGUAUGGGCUACAUCCAAGCAUGAUGCCUACCUAAUAUCGCAUUACUCGGUGCUACACUGGUCAGCCUUGAGUGGUGUGGACACAGAAAUUAUGAAUGUCGAAGGGCAUAUUGCACCAAGUGAGAAACAUCCAGGAAGUUUAUUAGAAGGGUUUUCUCAGACUCAAGUUAGUACGCUGGCAGUCAAGGAUAAUUUGCUAGUAGCUGGUGGUUUCCAAGGAGAGCUAAUAUGCAAAAACCUGGACCAAGAAGGAAUAAGCUUUUGCUGCAGGACAACAUAUGAUGAUAAUGCAAUCACCAAUGCAGUGGAGAUAUUCAACACCUCUAGUGGUGCUGUUCACUUCAUUGCAUCUAUUAACGACUCCGGUGUAAGAGAAUAUGAUAUGGAAAGAUACCAGUUAUGUAAGCAUUUCCGCUUUGAUUGGCCAGUGAAUCACACGUCUUUGAGCCCUGAUGGGAAGCUUGUUCUCGUUGUCGGGGAUGACCCAGAUGCUUUGCUUAUUGAUGCUAAUUCAGGAAAGGCUAUUCAUUCUAUGAAAGGUCACUUGGAUUUCUCAUUUGCAUCGGCUUGGAGCCCUGAUGGCCGGACAUUUGCCACUGGCAAUCAAGACAGGACAUGCCGGGUUUGGGAUGCCAGAAAUCUCUCGCAGUCUCUCCAUGUCUUGAGGGGUAACCUUGGUGCUAUAAGAUCUAUUCGCUACACAUCAGAUGGUCAGUUCCUGUCGAUGGCGGAGCCGGCAGACUUUGUCCACAUCUUUGAUGUCAAAAGUGAUUAUAACAAGAGGCAAGAGCUGGAUUUCUUUGGUGAGAUAUCUGGCAUGUCUUUCAGCCCUGACACGGACACGCUCUUCGUCGGUGUUUGGGACAGGACCUACGGCAGCCUACUUCAGUAUGGCCGCCUCUAUAACUACUCAUACCUUGACUCGCUGUUCUAA